GGCCCUGUGGCCUAAUGGAUAAGGCGUCGGACUUCGGAUCCGAAGAUUGCAGGUUCGAGUCCUGCCGGGGUCG
rnacentral:tRNA from 1 species